rnacentral:rRNA from 1 species
AACCCAAAAGAUCGAAUGGGGAGAUUCAUCGUCAGCGAUCCCGGCACGUGUGCGGUUCGUGAUGCCACGAGACUUCGGUCUCGAGGUACACGUCCGUAUGGGUUUWUGCCAGGCGUCGUCGGCGUGCACUUCUCCCCUAGUNGGACGUCGCGACCCGUUGGGUGUCGGUCNNNNNCCCGGGUGGGUGCCUGUCAUGUGUACGACGCUUCACGGCGUCAUGUGGCUGACAGACCCCCGGUUGUCUGACCAGCUGCCCGGCGGUACUCGCACGGUAUCGAGCCGCAAAUAUUUGAACUGCGUCCGGCCCGCCGCAAGCGAGGUCAGUGUUUCCCGGAUGUGCGGACCUAGCGCCGUCACCGGGCCUGGCCAGCUGUUGGUCGGCGGUGUCCUGGGACUGGCUCACAAUUUGAAUUAUGAUACCGGUCGGCGACGCUACUGCUUUGGGUACUUUCAGGACCCGUCUUGAAACACGGA